UCUGAGUUUAAACACCGAGUUCCCAAGCCUAAGCGCGACGCGUAUGGCGCGGGAACCGUGGCAGGAAUAGGUUUUCCCGCUACCAGGGUCGCCCGAGAAAUCGGCCGGCCUCCCGGCUUUGGAAAGGCGUUUAAUGUUACAAGAC
rnacentral:ncRNA from 1 species